rnacentral:rRNA from 1 species
GAUGAACGCUGGCGGCGUGCCUAAUACAUGCAAGUCGAGCGAACAGACGAGGAGCUUGCUCCUUUGACGUUAGCGGCGGACGGGUGAGUAACACGUGGUUAACCUACCUAUAAGACUGGGAUAACUUCGGGAAACCGGAGCUAAUACCGGAUAAUAUUUCGAACCGCAUGGUUCGAUAGUGAAAGAUGGCUUUUCUAUCACUUAUAGAUGGACCUGCGCCGUAUUAGCUAGUUGGUAAGGUAACGGCUUACCAAGGCAACGAUACGUAGCCGACCUGAGAGGGUGAUCGGCCACACUGGAACUGAGACACGGUCCAGACUCCUACGGGAGGCAGCAGUAGGGAAUCUUCCGCAAAGGGCGAAAGCCUGACGGAGCAACGCCGCGUGAGUGAUGAAGGUCUUCGGAUCGUAAAACUCUGUUAUUAGGGAAGAACAAACGUGUAAGUAACUGUGAACGUAUUGACGGUACCUAAUCAGAAAGCAACGGCUAACUACGUG